UACCUUCGGUGCCCGAGUUGUAAUUUGGAGAGGGCAACUUUGGGGCCGUUCCUUGUCUAUGUUCCUUGGAACAGGACGUCAUAGAGGGUGAGAAUCCCGUGUGGCGAGGAGUGCGGUUCUUUGUAAAGUGCCUUCGAAGAGUCGAGUUGUUUGGGAAUGCAGCUCUAAGUGGGUGGUAAAUUCCAUCUAAAGCUAAAUAUUGGCGAGAGACCGAUAGCGAACAAGUACAGUGAUGGAAAGAUGAAAAGAACUUUGAAAAGAGAGUGAAAAAGUACGUGAAAUUGUUGAAAGGGAAGGGCAUUUGAUCAGACAUGGUGUUUUGUGCCCUCUGCUCCUUGUGGGUAGGGGAAUCUCGCAUUUCACUGGGCCAGCAUCAGUUUUGGUGGCAGGAUAAAUCCAUAGGAAUGUAGCUUGCCUCGGUAAGUAUUAUAGCCUGUGGGAAUACUGCCAGCUGGGACUGAGGACUGCGACGUAAGUCAAGGAUGCUGGCA
rnacentral:rRNA from 1 species